rnacentral:rRNA from 1 species
GAUGAACGCUGGCGGCGUGCCUAAUACAUGCAAGUCGAGCGAACGGACGAGAAGCUUGCUUCUCUGAUGUUAGCGGCGGACGGGUGAGUAACACGUGGAUAACCUACCUAUAAGACUGGGAUAACUUCGGGAAACCGGAGCUAAUACCGGAUAAUAUUUUGAACCGCAUGGUUCAAAAGUGAAAGACGGUCUUGCUGUCACUUAUAGAUGGAUCCGCGCUGCAUUAGCUAGUUGGUAAGGUAACGGCUUACCAAGGCAACGAUGCAUAGCCGACCUGAGAGGGUGAUCGCCCACACUGGAACUGAGACACGGUCCAGACUCCUACGGGAGGCAGCAGUAGGGAAUCUUCCGCAAUGGGCGAAAGCCUGACGGAGCAACGCCGCGUGAGUGAUGAAGGUCUUCGGAUCGUAAAACUCUGUUAUUAGGGAAGAACAUAUGUGUAAGUAACUGUGCACAUCUUGACGGUACCUAAUCAGAAAGCCACGGCUAACUACGU